CCUACGGGAGGCAGCAGUGGGGAAUAUUGGGCAAUGGGCGCAAGCCUGACCCAGCAACGCCGCGUGAAGGAAGAAGGCUUUCGGGUGGUAAACUUCUUUUCUCAGGGACGAAGAAAGUGACGGUACCUGAGGAAUAAGCCACUGCUAACUACGUGCCAGCAGCCGCGGGAAUACGUAGGUGGCAAGCGUUAUCCGGAUUUAUUGGGUGUAAAGGGCGUGUAAGCGGGAGCGCAAGUCAGAUGUGAAAACUCAGGGCUCAACCCUGAGCCUGCAUUUGAAACUGUGUUUCUUGAGUGCUGGAGAGGCAAUCGGAAUUCCGUGUGUAGCGGUGAAAUGCGUAGAUAUACGGAGGAACACCAGUGGCGAAGGCGGAUUGCUGGACAGUAACUGACGCUGAGGCGCGAAAGCGUGGGGAGCAAACAGGAUUAGAUACCCCAGUAGUC
rnacentral:rRNA from 1 species